rnacentral:rRNA from 1 species
CCUACGGGUGGCAGCAGUAGGGAAUAUUGCUCAAUGGGGGAAACCCUGAAGCAGCAACGCCGCGUGGAGGAUGAAGGUUUUCGGAUUGUAAACUCCUUUUGUUAGAGAAGAUAAUGACGGUAUCUAACGAAUAAGCACCGGCUAACUCCGUGCCAGCAGCCGCGGUAAUACGGAGGGUGCAAGAGUUCCUCGGAAUCACUGGGCGUAAAGAGCGCGUAGGCGGGAUAGCAAGUCAGAUGUGAAAUCCUAGGGCUUAACCAUAGAACUGCAUUUGAAACUGUUAUUCUAGAGUAUGGGAGAGGUAGGUGGAAUUCUUGGUGUAGGGGUAAAAUCCGUAGAGACCAAGAGGAAUACUCAUUGCGAAGGCGACCUGCUAGAACAUAACUGACGUUGAUGCGCGAAAGCGUGGGGAGCAAACAGGAUUAGAUACCCUAGUAGUC